UACGGGGGGGGGCAAGCGUUGUUCGGAAUUACGUGGCGUAAAGGGCUCGUAGGCGGCCAACUAAGUCAUACGUGAAAUCCCUCAGCUUAACUGGGGAACUGCGUGUGAUACUGGAUGGCUUGGAUUUGGGAGAGGGAUGCGGAAUUCCAGGUGUAGCGGUGAAAUGCGUUGAUAUCAUCAGGAACACCGGAGGCGAAGGCGGCUCACUGGGGGUCUUCUGACGCUGAGGAACGAAAGCCAGGGGAGCGAACGGG
rnacentral:rRNA from 1 species